UCACUCUGUCCUCAUCUCAAAUAUCGCAUAAAUCUUUCGCCUUUUACUAAAGAUUUCCGUGUGAUGGGGAGAUUCUAAUGAGUCUAUUAGAAUUUUUUAUUGGCUUUUUCCAUUAGGAAAGA
rnacentral:snRNA from 1 species